AGAGUUUGAUCAUGGCUCAGGAUGAACGCUAGCGGCAGGCCUAAUACAUGCAAGUCGUACGGGAGGGUCCCUUCGGGGUCCCGAGAGUGGCGGACGGGUGCGUAACGCGUAUGCAACCACCCCCGUCAGCCGGACAGCCGCUGGAAACGGCGGGUAAUACGGCAUGCGCCCCGCGGGGGGCAUCCCCCUGCGUGGCAAAGCGGAGACGCGGACGGGGACGGGCAUGCGUGCCAUUAGCUUGUUGGCGGGGCGACGGCCCACCAAGGCGACGAUGGCUAGGGGAUCUGAGAGGACGGUCCCCCACACUGGUACUGAGACACGGACCAGACUCCUGCGGGAGGCAGCAGUAAGGGAUAUUGGUCAAUGGGCGGGAGCCUGAACCAGCCAUGCCGCGUGAGGGAAUUAGGCCUUACAGGUCGUGAACCUCUUUUGCCUGGGGACAACCGCGCCGUCGGGAACGGCGCUUGAGGGUACCGGGCGAAUAAGCGCCGGCUAACUCCGUGCCAGCCGCAGC
rnacentral:rRNA from 1 species